rnacentral:rRNA from 2 species
AGGUGCGAUCAUACCAGCACUAAUGCACCGGAUCCCAUCAGAACUCCGCGGUUAAGCGUGCUUUGGCGAGAGUAGUAUUAGGAUGGGUGACCUCCUGGGAAGUCCUCGUGUUGCACCUC